UUGAAUCACUGAUUCCCAUACAUCAAUCACCAAAGUUAAGUAACAUUGAGCUGGGUCAGUACCUAGAUGGGUGACUGCCUGAGAAUAUCAGGUGUUGGAAG